UACAGAGGGUGCAAACGUUGCCCGGAAUUAUUGGGCGUAAAGCGCGUGUAGGCGGCUUGUUAAGUCGGUUGUGAAAACCCAUGGCUCAACCAUGGAAGGGCGUCCGAAACUGGCAAGCUAGAGUCCCGACGAGGAUGGCGGAAUUCCCAGUGUAGAGGUGAAAUUCGUAGAUAUUGGGAGGAACACCGGUGGCGAAGGCGGCCAUCUGGGAGGGCACUGACGCUGAGACGCGAAAGCGUGGGGAGCAAACAGG
rnacentral:rRNA from 1 species